rnacentral:rRNA from 1 species
GUACUCGAGUGGCGAACGGGUGAGUAACACGUGGGUGAUCUGCCCUGCACUUCGGGAUAAGCCUGGGAGACUGGGUCUAAUACCGGAUAGGAGCCAUUUUUAGUGUGAUGGUUGGAAAGUUUUUUCGGUGUAGGAUGAGCUCGCGGCCUAUCAGCUUGUUGGUGGGGUAAUGGCCUACCAAGGCGGCGACGGGUAGCCGGCCUGAGAGGGUGGACGGCCACAUUGGGACUGAGAUACGGCCCAGACUCCUACGGGAGGCAGCAGUGGGGAAUAUUGCAUAAUGGGCGCAAGCCUGAUGCAGCGACGCCGCGUGGGGGAUGACGGCCUUCGGGUUGUAAACUCCUUUCGCUAGGGACGAAGCUUUUUGUGACGGUACCUAGAUAAGAAGCACCGGCUAACUACGUGCCAGCAGCCGCGGUAAUACGUAGGGUGCGAGCGUUGUCCGGAACUACUGGGCGUAAAGGGCUCGUAGGUGGUUUGUCGCGUCGUCUGUGAAAUUCCGGGGCUUAACUCCGGGCGUGCAGGCGAUACGGGCAUAACUUGAGUACUGUAGGGGUAACUGGAAUUCCUGGUGUAGCGGUGAAAUGCGCAGAUAUCAGGAGGAACACCGAUGGCGAAGGCAGGUUACUGGGCAGUUACUGACGCUGAGGAGCGAAAGCA